ACAGGAUGUUGAAAAUCUUGAAAACACUAACAACAAGACGUAAGAGAGCCCUUCACCGCAUAUAGUAGACCAAAGAUCCAAACAAGCAACAUAGCUCAAAACGGGGCAAGCGACUCACAAAGAGACCAAGAGCCAUGGCUACAAUGCAGGUUUAACCAAAGAAACCCCCUCCCCAAUGCCCAAACCUACCAUNAUGCCCAAACCUACCAUCCACGAACAAAACCACUGUUUACACUCAUUCAGGUGAGGAAGGGUGGACCUCAAUAGGACAAUGAAAACAUUGUCCUCCCCUUCAUGAAAUAGAACAAGCUCGGCACUUUCCAAAAGUUUCAACGAGAAAAACAUAGGAAAAAAAAUC
rnacentral:misc_RNA from 1 species